rnacentral:rRNA from 1 species
AACUGGUGAGUAACAGGUGGGUAAUGUGCCCCUCGGUGCGGGAUAACCACAGGAAACUGUGGCUAAUACCGCAUGUGGCUCAAGAGACGCAGGUUUUUUGGGUUAAAGGCUUUGGUCGCUGAGGGAGCAGCCCGCCCCCGAUUAGCUUGUUGGUAGGGUAACGGCCUACCAAGGCUCCGAUCGGUAGGUGGCCUGAGAGGGUGGUCACUCACACUGGGACUGAGAUACGGCCCAGACUCCUACGGGGGGCAGCAGUCUAGAAGCUUCCACAAUGGACGAAAGUCUGAUGGAGCGACGCCGCGUGUGGGAUGACAGCCGUGAGGUUGUAAACCACUGUCAGCAGGGAAGAAUGCCCCGAUGGCGAAUCGGGGAGAGACGGUACCUGCAGAGGAAGCCCCGGCUAACUCCGUGCCAGCAGCCGCGGUAAUACGGAGGGGGCGAACGUUGUUCGGAUUUACUGGGCGUAAAGGGUGUCUAGGCGGUUCGGUCAGUCUGGUGUGAAAUAUCCUCGCUCAACGAGGAAAACGCAUUGGAAACUUCCGAGCUCGAGAGUGGAAGAGGCAGGUGGAAUUCCUGGUGUAGCGGUGGAAUGUGUAGAUAUCAGGAAGAACACUCGUGGCGAAGGCGGCCUGCUGGUCCAUUUCUGACGCUGAAGCACGAAAGCCAGGGGAGCGAACGGGAUUAGAUACCCCGGUAGUCCUGGCCGUAAACGUUGAACACUAGAUGUCGGGGGUAUCGACCCCCUCGGUGUCGGAGCUAACGCGUUAAGUGUUCCGCCUGGGGAGUACGACCGCAAGGUUGAAACUCAAAGGAAUUGACGGGGGCCCGCACAAGCGGUGGAGGAUGUGGUUUAAUUCGACGCAACGCGAAGAACCUUACCUGGGCUUAAACCGCAGGGUAAACCCCCUGAAAGGGGGGCUGCUUCGGCGAUCCUGUAGAGGUGUUGCAUGGCUGUCGUCAGCUCGUGUCGUGAGAUGUUGGGUUAAGUCCCGCAACGAGCGCAACCCUUGAUUUUAGUUACCAGCGCGUAAUGGCGGCGACUCUAAGAGGACUGCCCUCGCAAGGGGGAGGAAGGUGGGGAUGACGUCAAGUCCUCAUGUCCUUUAUGUCCAGGGGUACACACGUCUUACAAUGGCCGGUACAAAGGGAUGCAAACUCGAGAGAGUGAGCCAAUCCCAAAA